rnacentral:tRNA from 3 species
GGCUGGGUAGCUUAGAUGGCUAGAGCAUCCGGUUCAUACCCGGAAGGUCGUGAGUUCGAGUCUCACUCCAGCCACCA